CAGGUAUGUCUUUGCGGCCACAGCCUAUUCCCCAGCUGAUGAUUCCAAUUAGAUACAUGCGAUCAUCCUUCAUACAGACCAGAGGCCCUCCAGAGUCACCCUACAGAGAAGUAACAGACUCCCUCAACACUUCUCUCAUGAGGAAACCCUAAAUAUUCUUGACACUGAAGCAUCUACCUUUGUAUGGCACUCAUUUAUGAAAUGUAGGUGAAAUGUUGGUAAGAACAAAAAGGGGGAUGCUGUUAUUCAAGCUAUAAAGAUCCAGGGUGUUCUAAACUGCUAUGUGUAAUAGUAAAGCACAAUUAUUAAAAGAGCUGUUUUAAUGGAAAGGAUGUGAA